GGGUGGUAAUUUCAUCUAAAGCUAAAUAUUGGCCGGAGACCGAUAGCGCACAAGUAGAGUGAUCGAAAGGUUAAAAGCACCUUGAAAAGGGAGUUAAACAGCACGUGAAAUUGUUGAAAGGGAAGCGCUUGCGGCCAGACUCGGGCGCGAGGUUCAGCGGGUGCGUGUCACCCGUGCACUCCUCGCCGCCCGGGCCAGCAUCAGUUCUGACGGCCGGUCAAAGGCCCCCGGAAUGUGUCGUCUCUAGGGACGUCUUAUAGCCGGGGGUGCAAUGCGGCCCGCCGGGACUGAGGAACGCGCUUCGGCUCGGAUGCUGGCGUAAUGGCCGUAAGCGGCCCGUCUUGAAACACGGAC
rnacentral:rRNA from 1 species